GAUGAACGCUGGCGGCGUGCCUAAUACAUGCAAGUCGAGCGAACAGACGAGGAGCUUGCUCCUCUGACGUUAGCGGCGGACGGGUGAGUAACACGUGGAUAACCUACCUAUAAGACUGGGAUAACUUCGGGAAACCGGAGCUAAUACCGGAUAACAUGUUGAACCGCAUGGUUCAACAGUGAAAGACGGUUUUGCUGUCACUUAUAGAUGGAUCCGCGUCGCAUUAGCUAGUUGGUAAGGUAACGGCUUACCAAGGCAACGAUGCGUAGCCGACCUGAGAGGGUGAUCGGCCACACUGGAACUGAGACACGGUCCAGACUCCUACGGGAGGCAGCAGUAGGGAAUCUUCCGCAAUGGGCGAAAGCCUGACGGAGCAACGCCGCGUGAGUGAAGAAGGUCUUCGGAUCGUAAAACUCUGUUAUUAGGGAAGAACAAAUGUGUAAGUAACUAUGCACGUCUUGACGGUGCCUAAUCAGAAAGCCACGGCUAACUACGUG
rnacentral:rRNA from 1 species